CAUGUGUCUUGUUGUAGUAUCACUAAUCAUAAGAGUGGUCACACAAGCAUUGUAGCUGUGAGGAAAACACAACACUUGCUCUAAGAUUUUGCGAGAAACAAAAGAGGGUGAGUGUUUGUAGUAGCUUAGGAGUGUUUGUAAUUGCGGUUUUGUAGCUCAAAUUUAAUAGUGAGAUUGUCUUUGAGAGGGUAACAAAGUUACCCAUUAUUUGCUUGUGUUGUGGUUUGUUAUUCUUUGGCAUUGUUGUUUAUAUUUGCUUGCUUUCAAUCCCAAAUUCUUAACAAAUUGGUAUUAGAGCGGAGGUUGUUUUGGGGUGAUUUGAAGGCCAAAUAUUAACUAAGUUGAGGUAGAAGAGGUGCGGGAAAGUUGAGGUUAGUGUGCUAAAUGAGAGCACCAAAAGUAGUUUCACUAGAAGAGCUUAAAGAAGUAGAAGUGUGCUAGAGUGAGAGAGGAAAAAUGUAGAACUGAAAGUGAGUUGUGAGAGUGUCGGUACAAAUUUUGCGCUGCCAAGUAACGUUACACGAUGUGAUCUUGUAUCGAAAGGCCAUUUGACAUUGUGGUGGUCAUUUGGCGUAUUCCGUGGCGCGACGGUAGUAGUAGAGGUGGUUGGUAGAUUGUGGUGAUGUGCUAGUAGCUCCACUAUGAGAUGGUGUUGGAGGAUGAGAGCACAAACACACAAGAGGGAGUGUAGAGGUAUGAGCGCCUUGUAGCGGAUUGGAGUUCUACGAAGAAGGGUCUUGAAGAUGAUGAAGACCACGAAGGAGGGGGAGGCAUGAUGUUUUGGUGGUUCCUAAAAGAAGUUGAAGGUUGAGGAUGAAGGUUCAUGGAACUUCUUCCGGGUCACCCACCUUGACGGGUCGCAAGCACACUCCACUCUACAUUAGUAUGUAGAACAUAAUUCACGGCCUCCCCUCCAUCGAAACUAUCUUGCACUGCCGUUAUUACCACAGGACACACCGCAAUCGCGAGGUCACACAUUUGAGGAAACCGUCCCAUACACAUAACGCCCAUGUCUAUCUUGACAAGCUACAAGCUAUGAUAUCACUUGUUGGGCCACCCACCUUGACGGGUUGCACGCACACUCCACUCCACAUUAGAUUGCAAGCCUAACAAGUAUAAUUUGGUAGAUUGACAGCCGGUGUUGAGCAAAGGUUAUGAUCUUGAGGAACUUGCUGUGAAAACAAGAUCGCUAUAAUGCUAUGGGGUCCUUUAUAAAAAGACGUGUUGGCCUUGGUAUAUUAGCAAUGCAUUACGCCAAGUAGGAAAUGUGUUCCAAAA